rnacentral:miRNA from 1 species
UCACAUAUACGUGAAGUGUUCACAUAUAUGUGAAUGGAAUUUGUGAAAUCAAUUCACAUAUAUGUGAACACUUCACGUAUAUGUGA